AUCACACUCGGAGGGGCUCCCUCCUCGCUCUCUCUCCCCCCUUGCUCCCUCUCUCCCUUCCCUCUCCCGCAGGUGAACCUUGCUUCUCCGCCCCUUCCCGCCUCCGCAGCCCCACCCUUCCCACCCCGGGUGGCCCAGAAGGACUGGGGCUCAGGAGGCCACCCCCACAUACACCAAGAAGGGGAGACAGUGCAGGUUCCUGGAGCUGCAGGAGGAGGGGAAGCAAGGGGCGCCUCCCAAUUAUGCGUCUCCCCCGCAGUCGCCUCCCUCCUCGGCGCCCUCUUCUCGGGCACGAACUCACCCUGGCACCCGUUCGUAGGAGGGCGCGCGGUUGGAAAGGUGAGUGGCCAGAGCCGGGGCGUGGGAGGAGGAGCUGCCCGCUGCCCGCUGCCCGCUGCCCGGGGGCGCCAAGAGCGGGCGUGGGGGCCGGCAGCCCGGAGGCUGGGAGACGCCGCGAUUAGGUCGGCGGAGCGCGCGCGUCUUUACCCGGGUCACCGGGAAGGCAGCCCCACUGCUUCCCGGGCGGGAGCCGGUGCCGUCCUCCCCGGGUCCCUCCGCGACACGCCCACGCCGGGGACUGGCGUUGACCACACACGUCCACGGGCACGCUGUGCUCUGCGGUCCAGGCCGGCGGAGCACGGGCGCGGGGCGGCCUCCCGGACGCCGGGGCUCUCCCCGUCGGUGUCCGCGGGAACCCGAGCCCGGCGCCCGGCGCCCGGGGUGGCGCGGAGGCCUCUCGCGGCUGCGGGGAGCCCGGGGCGCCGGGACGCCGCCUGGGCCCCGCAGCCUUCGGGACCCGCGGGGCCGCCGGCCACGGAGCGCGGGCGCGGGCGCGGGCGCGGGGGGCGCGCAGCCCGGACCCCGGACCCCGGACCGCGGGCCCGGCGGGGAGGCGGGGAGGCGGGCAGGGCGCCGCGGGGCCGGGAGGCCAUUUUGAGAGCGAGGAGCGGCCGCAAGAUGGCUGCGUGGGCACGAGGUAGGUCGCGGCGCGGCCCACGGAAGCGGAACGCGCGUGGAGCGCGCCCUCCCGCCGGUCCCCGCCGCUGCGCUCGGGCGCCCCUACGGCGGCGGGCCGGGCCCUCCGUCGCGGCUGGCGGUGCGCCCCGGGCCGCUGCGUGCGCUCCCGCCGGAGCCACCGGGAGGGACGCGCGCGGUCCGAGCCCUCCGCGGCCGGCCCGGGGUCGGGCAGGGGCGGAGCCGUGGCGCGGGGUCGCAGUCCCCAGCCGCGCGCGCUUCGCGCUCUUCCAUUCUUUCCGCGGAAUGUCGGGCGCACGGCGGACGCUCGCUCUCGCCCCGACACCGCGAGGCCCGGUGGCGAGCAGAGCCGGGCCGCCCUGCCCCAGCUCGCGGACGGCGUCUGCAGCGCUCGGGCCGAGGACGCCCCCGCCUCCCGCCCCAGGCCGGCCAGCACCCUCCCUGGCGGGGCUGCGGCGACGGGGGUAG
rnacentral:lncRNA from 1 species